ACUCCUACGGGAGGCAGCAGUGGGGAAUAUUGGACAAUGGGGGCAACCCUGAUCCAGCCAUGCCGCGUGUGUGAAGAAGGCCUUCGGGUUGUAAAGCACUUUAGUUGGGGAGGAAAGGUUGCGUGUUAAUAGCGCGUGACUGUGACGUUACCCAAAGAAUAAGCACCGGCUAACUCCGUGCCAGCAGCCGCGGUAAUACGGAGGGUGCAAGCGUUAAUCGGAAUUACUGGGCGUAAAGCGCACGUAGGCGGUCAUUUAAGUCGGAUGUGAAAUCCCCGGGCUCACCUGGAACUGGCAUACGAUACUGGGUGGCUAGAGUAUGGCAGAGGGGAGUGGAAUUCCAGGUGUAGCGGUGAAAUGCGUAGAUAUCUGGAGGAACAUCAGUGGCGAAGGCGACUCCCCUGGGUUAAUACUGACGCUGAGGUGCGAAAGCGUGGGGGAGCAAACAGGAUUAGAUACCCUGGUAGGCUCUG
rnacentral:rRNA from 1 species